AGUGAACGCUGGCGGCAGGCCUAAUACAUGCAAGUCGAACGGCAGCACAGCAGAGCUUGCUCUGUGGGUGGCGAGUGGCGGACGGGUGAGGAAUACAUGGGAAUCUGCCCAGUCGUGGGGGAUAACGUAUGGAAACGUACGCUAAUACCGCAUGCGCCCUACGGGGGAAAGCCGGGGACCGCAAGGCCUGGCGCGAUUGGAUGAGCCCAUGUUCGAUUAGCUAGUUGGCGGGGUAAAGGCCCACCAAGGCGACGAUCGAUAGCUGGUCUGAGAGGAUGAUCAGCCACACUGGAACUGAGACACGGUCCAGACUCCUACGGGAGGCAGCAGUAGGGGAAUAUUGGACAAUGGGGGCGAACCCUGAUCCAGCCAUGCCGCGUGAGUGAAGAAGGCCCUCGGGUUGUAAAGCUCUUUUGUCCGGAAAGAAAAGCAAUCGGUUAAUACCCGGUUGUUCUGACGGUACCGGAAGAAUAAGCACCGGCUAACUUCGUGCCAGC
rnacentral:rRNA from 1 species